UACCAGCACCCCGAGUGGUCGGGACGUUUAUUGGGCCUAAAGCAUCCGUAGCCGGUUCUACAAGUCUUCCGUUAAAUCCACCUGCUCAACAGAUGGGCUGCGGAAGAUACUAUGGAGCUAGGAGGCGGGAGAGGCAAGCGGUACUCGAUGGGUAGGGGUAAAAUCCGUUGAUCCAUUGAAGAACACCAGUGGCGAAGGCGGCUCACUGGCCCGAUACUGACGCUGAGGCACGAAAGCGUGGGGAGCAAACAGG
rnacentral:rRNA from 1 species